rnacentral:rRNA from 1 species
GCUCUUUUGGGUCUUGUAAUUGGAAUGAGUACAAUUUAAAUCCCUUAACGAGGAACAAUUGGAGGGCAAGUCUGGUGCCAGCAGCCGCGGUAAUUCCAGCUCCAAUAGCGUAUAUUAAAGUUGUUGCAGUUAAAAAGCUCGUAGUUGAACUUCAGGCCUGGCCGGGCGGUCCUCCUCACGGUGCGUACUGUCUGGCCGGGUCUUACCUCUUGGUGAGCCGACAUGCCCUUUACUGGGUGCGCCGGGGAACCAGGACUUUUACCUUGAGAAAAUUAGAGUGUUCAAAGCAGGCCUACGCCUGAAUACGUUAGCAUGGAAUAAUGAAAUAGGACGUGCGGUUCUAUUUUGUUGGUUUCUAGAGUCGCCGUAAUGAUUAAUAGGGAUAGUUGGGGGCAUUUGUAUUCCGUUGCUAGAGGUGAAAUUCUUGGAUUUACGGAAGACAAACUUCUGCGAAAGCAUUUGCCAAGGAUGUUUUCAUUAAUCAAGAACGAAGGUUAGGGGAUCGAAAACGAUCAGAUACCGUUGUAGUCUUAACAGUAAACUAUGCCGACUAGGGAUCGGGCGACCUCUUUUUCAUGUGUCGCUCGGCACCUUACGAGAAAUCAAAGUCUUCGGGUUCUGGGGGGAGUAUGGUCGCAAGGCUGAAACUUAAAGGAAUUGACGGAAGGGCACCACCAGGAGUGGAGCCUGCGGCUUAAUUUGACCCAACACGGGGAAACUCACCAGGUCCAGACAUGACUAGGAUUGACAGAUUGAUAGCUCUUUCUUGAUUUUAUGGGUGGUGGUGCAUGGCCGUUCUUAGUUGGUGGAGUGAUUUGUCUGGUUAAUUCCGAUAACGAACGAGACCUUGACCUGCUAAAUAGCCAGGCCGUCUUCGGAUGGUCGCCGGCUUCUUAGAGGGACUAUCAGCGUCUAGCUGAUGGAAGUUUGAGGCAAUAACAGGUCUGUGAUGCCCUUAGAUGUUCUGGGCCGCACGCGCGCUACACUGACAGAGCCAGCGAGUUCCAUCCUUGGCCGGAAGGUCUGGGUAAUCUUGUGAAACUCUGUCGUGCUGGGGAUAGAGCAUUGCAAUUAUCGCUCUUCAACGAGGAAUUCCUAGUAAGCGUGAGUCAUCAGCUCGCGUUGAUUACGUCCCUGCCCUUUGUACACACCGCCCGUCGCUACUACCGAUUGAAUGGCUUAGUGAGGUCUCCGAAUCGGCGGUGGGGAGCCGGCAACGGCACCCUGCUGCUGAGAAGCUGAU